UACGGGGGGGGCAAGCGUUGUUCGGAAUUACUGGGCGUAAAGGGCUCGUAGGCGGCCAACUAAGUCAGACGUGAAAUCCCUCGGCUUAACCGGGGAACUGCAUCUGAUACUGGAUGGCUUGAGUUCGGGAGAGGGAUGCGGAAUUCCAGGUGUAGCGGUGAAAUGCGUAGAUAUCUGGAGGAACACCGGUGGCGAAGGCGGCAUCCUGGACCGGUAUUGACGCUGAGGCACGAAAGCCAGGGGAGCAAACGGG
rnacentral:rRNA from 1 species